rnacentral:lncRNA from 1 species
GUCAUUUUUUUCUCUGUUAAUGAUGUCUAUAAACUAAAUCCAUUGGAAGUUAGAUGUGUAAUGAUUGAUAUUUAUAGUCUUCUAAAGAUACUUUGUGUCUUUUAUGUUUUGGAUAGUGUUGUUUUUUUCUUUGUGCUUCGUACCGAUCUGAUGAGUUAAAGCCCUUUUCAACUGUUUUAAUUUUAUAAUUUUCUUAGGUUGUACUGAUAAACCCAUGUUCAUGAUAAGGGAGAGAGGAUGGAGCUAGCAAACAUGCGCAUGGCUACACAUUAUGUAUGUGCAUGUCUGAAGUCAGGAGCAUGUUAUUAUUUUGCAAUAUAUCUUUUUUGUUUUUUUUGGUUUUUUUAUUUUGUACUUUAUUCAACCUUUUUUUUCUUGUUUGAAUUCGUUUUAGAACUUUUUGGGUCAUUUUAUAGCUCACUAUGCAGUAUGGUACCGGUGUUGCUCAUUGUUGAAGGCCAUACGUUGACCUAUAGUUGUUAACUUAUACGUCGUAUGGUCUCCGGUGGAUAGUGAAUUGUAUCAUUGGCAAUCAUGACAAAUCUUCUUAUUUUCAUAUUCAUGUUUCCUUAUAUAUGGUAUUGCUACGUUGUUUAAGCCUUACAUUAUGCUGAUUUAAUGGCAUCGUUGGGCUAAAAUUUAAUUACAGUCAACCUUGUACUUAUUUCUACCAGAGAAAAGUUCUUCCUUAUUGAUUGGUUAGCAUUUUCAAUGACAUCAAACACACUCCUUUCUUUCCGAACGGUUAGCUUCCUUAUUAUAACCGACAGCUUUAGUAUCCAAAUGAGACCUAGUUUUUGUCAGUUGUUUGCUUUCUUCAAUAAGAUCAUCUCGUACAUUUCAUUUAAAUAAGACUUGUUAACCUUUUACAGAAUUGCCAAGCCUUUCCAAUCAAUAUUUAACCAUCUUUGUAGUUAAAUUGUGUUUCUAUGGUAACCGAUUUUACAAAAUGUAAUUUGAUGUCUCUAAAACAUUUGCGUUGCGUCACUUUUUAUCUAUUAGGCAUAUUUAUCAAAUAUAAAUGUAUAUUGUAUAUUGUAUGAUAUAAAAAGAAGAAAUGGUAUGAUUGCCAAUGAACAACUCUUCACAAGAGACCAGAUGACACAGACAUGAACAACUAUUAUAGGUCACAGUAUGGCCUACAACAAUAAGCAAACAUUUACCGCAUAGUCAGCUAUAAAAGGCCACUAAAUGACAAAGUAAAACAAU